GAAAUGCUUCAGGGCCCGAAUGUGGUGGCUCGAAUGCCCCGAAAGCGUGGGCUCACGCGGCAUAACGCCCCAAUCUCGCUCUCUAUCAUUUUUCAGUGUUUUACCUCGCUCUCUCUCCUUUUUUAGUGUUAUACCCAACUCUCUUCCUCAUCUUGCUCUGUUCUUCAUUCAACUUCCGAUUCAUCUGCUCUUCCGGUUCAUUUCGGAAUCAUUCCAGCGUAUCACCUCCUCUCUUCUCCCAGACGAUGCCGAAAAGUUCAUCCUCACACCCGAAUCGCAGAACAUUUUUGGAGAUGAAAAAUUGAUUUCACAGCAUCAAACUAGAGCACAAGGUGAAAAAAAAAUUCAGGCAUAAACCAAAUCGAACAAAAUGAUGUCAGGGUAAGGCUUUCUGAGAUGAUGAUGGGGACGUUACCUCGACAAUCCAUUCCAAUAGUGGACCUCGUAAAGCUAUCGAAACAGAAGAAUUCAAUCAGGGCAAGGCUUUCUGAGAUGGAAAAUGAAAUACAUGAGCAUAGUAGAAGGCUUCAAAGGAUGGACAACAAUUUCAAGGCUAUGAUUUAUGUGAUUCUACUCUAUAUCGUUUUGUACUUUAUUAUGUAAUAAUUUAAAUGCUUGACUGUUAGUUUUUGGGAUAUUUGAUGAAUGUAAUUAUGGAUGUAAUAGGA